UUUCUGCCUGGUUUUAGAGGCCCGGAGUCCCAAAUUACCUGGCGAAGCUCUUUCAUUAUUUUUUCCUGAGCUGUGUGACUAGGCCAGACGGGACAAACUGCCUACAAUCUAUACAUAUAUAAUUGAGAAGACAGUUAUGAACCCAACCUCCAACUGAGUGAACAAGGGGAUGCUCAGACAGAGAGGCAAGGACCUUGGUCUGCUCCCUCCAUGUAAGAGCUGAUCUGGCUUCCCUAUGGUCACUGAAGGGGUUCCAUCUACCUGCUGUGCCACCUCAGGCUUGGGCCCGAGUUCCAGCAGGCGCCGAG